GUAGGUGAACCUGCGGAAGGAUCAUUGUCGAUACUGCCCAGCAGAUAGACCCGUGAACACGUUGCAUCAUGAUCUAGGGAAAGGGUGUGGGGGUGCAAGCCCCUUCCUCCCUGACCCUGAAAAGGUCGGUCCGCGGGUAUCCGUGGAAUCUGACCCAAACACAACCACUGGCGCGGUUUGUGCCAAGGAACUCACAACGGAAUGGACGUGCCACUGUACCUUUUGGUGUGGUGUGCGUUGUCUUGAAUCCGAAUCUCACUAACGACUCUCGGCAACGGAUAUCUCGGCUCUCGCAUCGAUGAAGAACGUAGCGAAAUGCGAUACUUGGUGUGAAUUGCAGAAUCCCGUGAACCAUCGAGUCUUUGAACGCAAGUUGCGCCCUAGGCCAUCGGGCUGAGGGCACGCCUGCCUGGGCGUCACGCAUCGCGUCGCCUGCCCUCUGUCGCCCUUGUGGUGGCCGAGUGUAGAGCGGAGUUUGGCCCCCCGUGCCCUUGAUUGAGGUGCGGUUGGCCCAAAGGCAAGGCCCCCUGUGUGGCGAGCGUCACGAUGAGUGGUGGUUGAAGCCACUUUGCCAUUAGUUCGGACGUUGUGUGCGCUCUCCCUACCUUGGGCCCUCGUGACCCUGAUCAUGUGUUGUCUUACGACACACUUCGACCGCGACCCCAGGUCAGGCGGGGCUACCCGCUGAGUUUAAGCAUAUCAAUAAGCGGAAGA
rnacentral:rRNA from 1 species